rnacentral:rRNA from 1 species
AACAUGUCCUUUAAUAAUUUAUAUAAGGUAAAACCUGCUCCUUGAAAAUAUAACUCUUUAAACAGCCGCAGUAAAUUGUGCUAAGGUAGCAUAAUCAUUUGUCCUUUAAUUGAGGUCUAGAAUGAAAGGUUAAUUUGACUAAUAACCUAUAAAAUUAAAAAUAAUAAAAUUUCAAUUUUAAGUAAAAAUGCUUAAAUGUUAUAAAGGGACGAGAAGACCCUAAAAUUUUAAAAUUUUAAUUUUAUUAUAAACUAAAAUUUUUAAUUGGGGCAAUUAAAUUACUAAACUUUUUUUACUUACUCAUUAUAGAUGAAACAGAAAGAAAAAUAUUUAACACAAAAAAUAAUUACUUUAGGGAUAACAGCGCAAUAAUGAGUAAGGAGGCCAAUUUUAAACUUAUGAUUGCGACCUCGAUGUUGAAUUAAGCUAAUUUAAAGAGCAGAUACUUUAAAAUUUUAGUCUGUUCGACUAAUUUAGGCUUACGUGAU